CCUAGACAUGAUCUGCACCUCUACGUUGGUGUCUAGGACUAGUAGCCCAUAUGGUGAAGCCAAGCAGGU
rnacentral:ribozyme from 1 species